rnacentral:rRNA from 1 species
AGUGAACGCUGGCGGUAGGCCUAACACAUGCAAGUCGAACGGCAGCACAGUAAGAGCUUGCUCUUACGGGUGGCGAGUGGCGGACGGGUGAGGUAUACAUCGGAAUCUACUUUUUCGUGGGGGAUAACGUAGGGAAACUUACGCUAAUACCGCAUACGACCUACGGGUGAAAGCAGGGGAUCUUCGGACCUUGCGCGAUUGAAUGAGCCGAUGUCGGAUUAGCUAGUUGGCGGGGUAAAGGCCCACCAAGGCGACGAUCCGUAGCUGGUCUGAGAGGAUGAUCAGCCACACUGGAACUGAGACACGGUCCAGACUCCUACGGGAGGCAGCAGUGGGGAAUAUUGCACAAUGGGCGCAAGCCUGAUCCAGCCAUACCGCGUGGGUGAAGAAGGCCUUCGGGUUGUAAAGCCCUUUUGUUGGGAAAGAAAAGCAGCAGGUUAAUACCCCGCUGUUCUGACGGUACCCAAAGAAUAAGCACCGGCUAACUUCGUG